AUGUUGUUUGCUUCUUUCCGGUGUGCUUCUUCGGGUUGGUUCCGUAAACGUCACGUUUGUGAGGAUUCGUUCGACUUCAUUCGUUUGUCCUCUUCAUGGACUCGUUCUUCUUCCUUGCGGGAUCUCAGCAAGAUGACCAUACCCUCGAAAUCACUUCUAUCUUUGCUUGCUAGUUGCUCUCUCUAUUGCUAUGCCACAAUACCUACCACUUGCUUUAUCAUGCCUCCCAUAUUGCCAUGUCAAGCCUCUAACCCACAUUUCCUAGCAAACCGUUGUUUGGCUAUGUUACCGCUUUGCUCAGCCCCUCUUAUAGCGUUGCUAGUUGCAGUUGAAGAUGAAGUUUGUUCCAUAUUUGGAACAUGCAUAUUGUUUGGAUAUCACAAUAUCUCUUAUUUAAUUAAUGCAUCUAUGUACUUGGUAAAGGGUGGAAGGCUCGGCCUUAUUCCUGGUGUUUUGUUCCACUCUUGCUGCCCUAGUUUCUGUCAUACUGGUGUUAUGUUCCUUGAUUUUCCGUUCCUUACGCGGUUGGGUGUUAUGAGAACCCCUUGA
rnacentral:rRNA from 1 species